rnacentral:rRNA from 1 species
GACGAACGCUGGCGGCGUGCUUAACACAUGCAAGUCGAACGGAAAGGCCCCUUUGGGGGUACUCGAGUGGCGAACGGGUGAGUAACACGUGAGAACCUGCCCUUGACUUCGGGAUAACUUCAGGAAACUGGGGCUAAUACCGGAUAGGAAUCCUUGCUGCAUGGUGGGGGUUGGAAAGCUUCGGCGGUUUUGGAUGGACUCGCGGCUUAUCAGCUUGUUGGUGGGGUAGUGGCUUACCAAGGCUUUGACGGGUAGCCGGCCUGAGAGGGCGACCGGCCACAUUGGGACUGAGAUACGGCCCAGACUCCUACGGGAGGCAGCAGUGGGGAAUAUUGCACAAUGGGCGGAAGCCUGAUGCAGCAACGCCGCGUGCGGGAUGACGGCCUUCGGGUUGUAAACCGCUUUCAGCAGGGGCGAAGCUUGUGGUGACGGUACCUGCAGAAGAAGCACCGGCUAACUACGUG